UAUACAAGAAUUGCUCGUUUAAAGGUAUAAGAUAAGAUAUAGUCGAGUUUUGACGGCUAGACUUUGAUUAUUUUAUCAUAGUGCUCACUGGGUCACGAUAAGUGCUCUUGUGCUAUAUAAAUGGUGCAAAAUACAAAUUUUUGGAGUUAAAUAUCAGUAAGUAUCUGUUUUUUUCAUUAUAUAUACAAUUGAACUCCAUUUAUUUACAUAUAACAUUAUCAAUACAUUUUUCAGGGAUGGCAAGAUAUCAUUUCUUCUUGGCAACUGCUGCUAUCGAAGAAAAACAAAACAGAAAACUUCAACGCCGGGCUAUAAGGGAUGCAUGCAACCCGUUUGAUAAGCCCGACGAGGAGUUUCGGCGCAUAUAUAGGGUGCGCAAAGAAUUAGCACUGUAUGUGUGCUGAACUUGACGCCGACCUCAAACCUCAACAUGGCGAUGGAUUGCCGGCACAUCUUAAAGUAAAGAUAUAAUGUUGCACUAUUCCUCAAAUCAUUCCCGUUACCUUUACCACCUUGAUCAUAAUCAUUAUUUCAUAAUGAUAUACCUACUUACAAGUCUUUGUUUUAGGUUUUAACAUCACUGCACCUAUUGGCUGACGGUAGUUACCAACGGGGAACUAGACAAGACCAUGGCUUGUCCAUUGCUCAGUCUACCCUCAGCCGGUACUUGGAUCAAUUUGUAACUGCGGUGAAUAGAAGACUCAAGGACACAUGGAUAGUCUUCCCAGGAAAUGAGAGGUGUUCAUAUGGGGUUGCUAACAUUUUAGGCACAGUAGACUGCACCCCAAGUAAAAAUAUUUCCAUAACCUUUACCGCAUGGCGUAGUUUUUAAACAGAAAAGGAAUUCAUUCGCUAAACAUUCAGUUGAAAUCUUCCAAUAAUAGGCGAAUCUGAAGCGGAAUUGGAAGGGGGCGCUGCUCGAGGGAUGCAUUAUCCUCAAAACAGGCUUCUCUUAAGAGUGGCACAAGAGAAGCGUGCCCUAUUAAUAAAUAAUUAUUUCGCCUAGUAUUAUUUUAUUUUGUUAUGUUCAUUAACACUGCCUUCCUGAAAACAUUCUGAGGAAACCGGACUAGCCCCAAGAGGUCAUCCAUUAAUUAGAUCACACGUCAAGGGGGAGAGAGGGGGUCAAGAAAAUGUGACAUGUUGUGACAAGAGGGAGGGGGAAGUCAUAAACUUUGUGACGUCAUAAGUCGUAAGUCAUAAGUCAUUUAUUUGCGAAAUAUAAGGUAUACAUAGGAUGUUGCAGUUCAUAGUUAACUGAGCCAAGCUUACAAUAAGCACGGCGUGGGAUCAAAUUGAAACGUUUGUGAGUCUAACAUAAGCAAAAAAGAAAUAUGACCAGCGUGAAUGCUCACAUGAACUAGACAUGAUUGAAAAUGAAGACCUAAUAGGUUCUCCGAAACAUGUCGCACAAGUGUUUAGCUUACGGUGUGGGCUGUCAUUAGAUAGGUCUUUUAAAAACAAAUACGGGUCUUUAAUGACCAUUUUAGAUAAAGAUAAUAUUUUCGUAAAUAAUCGCUCUGAAAGAAAAUAAGAAUAGUUCCUCCCUCUAACUUUCGAACCAUGUUGGGUCCAAAUAAUAUGACUAAAAAUCAUACAUUCAACUUGGAACACACGACUGGCUAUUGGAGGUCUCGACAUUUUGUUUUUAGGGUUCCGUAGCCAAAUGGCAAAA